GUGCUCUCCUCAGCAGCACAUAUACUCAAAUUGGAACAAUACAGAAAAGAUUAGCAUGGCCCCUGCAUAAGUAUGACAUGCAAAUUCAUGAAGCAUUCCAUAUUUUU